rnacentral:lncRNA from 1 species
ACCGCCAGCCACAUACCUACAUGUCCACCUAUCCAGCCCCAUACCCACGUCCUCUCACAGAUACCCGCCAAGUCAUCUAACGACCAAAAAAACAAAUCAGAAGAGAGAAGAAAUGGAGGAAAAAGAAGACCGAGAGAGAGAGAGAGAAAGAGAGAAAUGAAGAAGGAAAGAAAAAAGAGAGAUGGAGAGAGGAAGGUAAAGACGGAAAAGACAUAGAGGGAUCGGAGUG